AUAUACGACCGUACCGCAAACCGACACUGGUGCGCGAGAUGAGUAUUCUAAGGCGCUUGAGAGAACUCAGGAGAAGGAACUCGGCAAAUUGACACCGUAACUUCGGAAGAAGGUGUGCCCUAUUAGUGUGUAGUGAACAACGAAGCAUGGAUGGGUUGCAAAAAAUCGGUGGCUGCGACUGUUUAUUAAAAACACAGCACUCUGCAAACACGAAAGUGGACGUAUAGGGUGUGACGCCUGCCCGGUGCUGGAAGAUUAAAUGAUGGGGUGCAAGCUCUUGAUUGAAGUCCCAGUAAACGGCGGCCGUAACAAUAACGGUCCUAAGGUAGCGAAAUUCCUUGUCGGGUAAGUUCCGACCUGCACGAAUGGCGUAACGAUGGCCACACUGUCUCCUCCUGAGACUCAGCGAAGUUGAAAUGUUUGUGAUGAUGCAAUCUCCCCGCGGAAAGACGGAAAGACCCCAUGAACCUUUACUGUAGCUUUGUAUUGGACUUUGAACAGAUCUGUGUAGGAUAGGUGGGAGGCUUUGAAGCAGGGUCGCUAGAUCUUGUGGAGCCAACGUUGAAAUACCACCCUGGUGUGUUUGAGGUUCUAACCUAGGUCCAUUAUCUGGAUCGGGGACAGUGCAUGGUAGGCAGUUUGACUGGGGCGGUCUCCUCCCAAAGCGUAACGGAGGAGUUCGAAGGUACGCUAGUUACGGUCGGACAUCGUGACGAUAGUGCAAUGGCAUAAGCGUGCUUAACUGCGAGACUGACAAGUCGAGCAGAUGCGAAAGCAGGACAUAGUGAUCCGGUGGUUCUGUAUGGAAGGGCCAUCGCUCAACGGAUAAAAGGUACUCUGGGGAUAACAGGCUGAUACCGCCCAAGAGUUCAUAUCGACGGCGGUGUUUGGCACCUCGAUGUCGGCUCAUCUCAUCCUGGGGCUGUAGCCGGUCCCAAGGGUAUGGCUGUUCGCCAUUUAAAGAGGUACGUGAGCUGGGUUUAAAACGUCGUGAGACAGUUUGGUCCCUAUCUUCCGUGGGCGCUGCAGAUUUGAGGAAGCCUGCUCCUAGUACGAGAGGACCGGAGUGGACACACCUCUGGUGUAUCGGUUGUCACGCCAGUGGCAUUGCCGAGUAGCUAAGUGUGGAAGAGAUAACCGCUGAAAGCAUCUAAGCGGGAAACUCGUUUCAAGAUGAGAUCUGCCGGGGCCUUGAGCCCCCUAAAGAGUCGUUCAAGACCAGGACGUUGAUAGGUCAGGUGUGGAAGCUAAAGA
rnacentral:rRNA from 1 species